ensembl:lncRNA
CGCCGGGCUCCAGCUGCUGCCGCCCCGCCGCCGCCGCACGCACGCUCGCUCGCUCGCAGAUGAACCUAUGACUGACUCAUAAUCUGAGAACUGCAGUGGCUUGUAAAAUAGGAAGGGAGAAGGUUUUGAUGUUAAGAGAAGAGGUACUUGGAUAUUUGUACUGAAUCAGAGUUCUUUGUGGCUGGGCUGGGAAACCCCUUUAAUACAGCCUGAUAACGGAAACACUGAUGUGUCAUGAGUUUGGGCACUGCAAGCAGACUGCACUGGGAGGUUAUAAAAGUUGCUUCAGUACAGCAUGAGAAUGACAAGAGAAAAAGAGAAGGGAUAGAGAAUUCGGAGGAAAGAGGUGGCAGCUUGCAAUGAUUAGGUGUCUGCAGAGUAGGAAGUAGGAAGAGGUGCUCUCUUGUCUGUGCUAAUAGGAGUGAAAAUAGAGACCCCCUACCCCCCCUCCAAAAAGAG